UGGUUUAAUUUGAAGCAACGCGAAGAACCCUACCAGGUCUUGACAUCUUCUGACAACUCCAGAGAUAGAGCGUUUCCCUUUGGGGGACAGAGUGACAGGUGGUGCAUGGUUGUCGUCAGCUCGUGUCGUGAGAUGUUGGGUUAAGUCCCGCAACGAGCGCAACCCUUGAUCUUAGUUGCCAGCAUUUAGUUGGGCACUCUAAGGUGACUGCCGGUGACAAACCGGAGGAAGGUGGGGAUGACGUCAAAUCAUCAUGCCCCUUAUGACCUGGGCUACACACGUGCUACAAUGGAUGGUACAAAGGGC
rnacentral:rRNA from 1 species